rnacentral:piRNA from 5 species
UGGUGACUCUAGAUAACCUCGGGCCGAUC